GAUGAACGCUGGCGGCGUGCCUAAUACAUGCAAGUCGAGCGAACGGACGAGAAGCUUGCUUCUCUGAUGUUAGCGGCGGACGGGUGAGUAACACGUGGAUAACCUACCUAUAAGACUGGGAUAACUUCGGGAAACCGGAGCUAAUACCGGAUAAUAUUUUGAACCGCAUGGUUCAAAAGUGAAAGACGGUCUUGCUGUCACUUAUAGAUGGAUCCGCGCUGCAUUAGCUAGUUGGUAAGGUAACGGCUUACCAAGGCAACGAUGCAUAGCCGACCUGAGAGGGGGAUAGGCCACCCUGGAACGGAGACACGGUCAAGACUACUACGGGAGGCAGCAGUAGGGAAUGUUACGCAACGGGCGAGAGCCUGACGGAGUAACGCGGCGUGAGUGAUGGAGGUGCUCGGAUCGUAAAACUCUGUUAUUAGGGAAGAACAGAUGUGUAAGUAGCUGUGCACAUAUUGACGGUAACUAAUCAGAAAGCAACGGCUAACUACGUG
rnacentral:rRNA from 1 species